rnacentral:miRNA from 1 species
GGCUCUGGUCCUGGUCCCGGUCCUGGUCCAGGUCCUGGCUCUGGUCCUGGUCCCGGUCCUGGUCCAGGUCCUGGC